rnacentral:rRNA from 1 species
UACGUAGGCAGCGAGCGUUGUUCGGAAUUACUGGGCGUAAAGAGUGUGUAGGCGGUGCUCUAAGUUCGGUGUGAAAUCUCCCGGCUUAACUGGGAGGGUGCGCCGGAAACUGGAGUGCUCGAGCGUGGGAGAGGAAAGCGGAAUUCCUGGUGUAGCGGUGAAAUGCGUAGAUAUCAGGAGGAACACCUGCGGUGUAGACGGCUUUCUGGACCGUUGCUGACGCUGAGACACGAAAGCGUGGGGAGCAAACAGG